CUGACGAAGCANCGCCGCGUGAGUGAGGAAGGUCCUUUGGAUUGUAAAGCUCUGUUGCCGGGGAAGAAAGUUAGUGUAAGGAAAUGUGCAUUAAUUGACGGUACCCGGUGAGGAAGCACUGGCUAACUACGUGCCAGCAGCCGCGGUAAUACGUAGAGUGCAAGCGUUGUCCGGAAUCAUUGGGCGUAAAGGGUACGCAGGCGGAUAUACAAGUCAAAUGUGAAAGGUGUAGGCUUAACCUACAGACUGCGUUUGAAACUGUAUAUCUUGAGAGCAGCAGAGGAAGGCGGAAUUCCUGGUGUAGUGGUGAAAUACGUAGAUAUCAGGAAGAACACCAGUGGCGAAGGCGGUCUUCUGGGCUGCAUCUGACGCUCAUGUACGAAAGCUGGGGUAGCGAACGGGAUUAGAUACCCCGGUAGUCCCAGCUGUAAACGAUGGACACUAGGUGUUGGAGGUUCGAAUCCUUCAGUGCCGGAGUUAACGCAUUAAGUGUCCCGCCUGGGGAAUACGGUCGCAAGACUGAAACUCAAAGGAAUUGACGGGGGCCCGCACAAGCGGUGGAGCAUGUGGUUUAAUUCGAUGCAACGCGAAGAACCUUACCGAGAAUUGACAUCCCGUGACUACCUGUGAAAGCAGGGUUUAGUGUUCACACUACACGGAGACAGGUGGUGCAUGGCUGUCGUCAGCUCGUGUUGUGAAAUGUUGGGUUAAGUCCCGCAACGAGCGCAACCCUUGUCCUUAGUUGCCAGCAAGUAAUGUUGGGGACUCUAAGGAGACUGCCGGUGAAAGUCGGANGAAGGUGGGGAUGACNUCAAGUCCUCAUGCCCUUUAUAUCUCG
rnacentral:rRNA from 1 species